ACUGAUGUUCCAUAGAACAUAGUUUAGGGAACACAGCUGUAAAGCUCAAAAACUUUUCAAUUGUUUGAAUAAUGCUAGUCACUUUUGUAAUUUAAUUUAAGUAAAUUUAACCUGUCCCAAUUAGGCCAUGGUCCCUUCAAAUUUCCGAAAUGUGUAUGGCAUUGAGAUGGUUAAUGAAUUCAGUUUACUCAAAGGUAAAUUCAUGGCAAGCUCUUGAAAUGGGCAAGCAGAACUCUUUUCUACAAUUGUGCUAUCAUGCUGGCAGCUCCAAUUUAUCAAGCUUAAAGUAUUGCCAAUUUUGCUGUUCAAAUCUCUAUGCUAGAGUAAUUGGAUUUGCAAACCAGGAACUGGUACCCAACAGCACACCAUCAUGACUACCAUCAUUACUUCUACUACCAUUAACACCAUUUAAUGACUGUACUAUGAACCAGGCACUGUGGACAAGAAACUCCUCAAAGUCUGGGACUAUGCCUCAGUUACCUUUGUGUCCUCUGCAGUGUUCAUGAUGUUUCAUAACAUGCAGUAGGGGCGCAAUAGCUCUUUGAUGAACAGAAUUGAAAGGAUACUUGCUCUCCGC
rnacentral:lncRNA from 1 species